rnacentral:pre_miRNA from 1 species
UAGGGAAGCAGGCGCAAAGCUAGCAGUGGCGGAUCGUGAUAAUAAUCUAAUCAUCCUCGUUCCGCCACUGCUAGCUUUGCGCCUGCUUCACGAGU